rnacentral:rRNA from 1 species
GACGAACGCUGGCGGCGUGCUUAACACAUGCAAGUCGAACGGUGAACCUCUUCGGAGGGGAUCAGUGGCGAACGGGUGAGUAACACGUGGGCAACCUGCCCCCGGCUCUGGGAUAACUCCAAGAAAUUGGGGCUAAUACCGGAUGUUCACCGCUUCCCGCAUGGGUGGUGGUGGAAAGGGUUUCCGGCUGGGGAUGGGCCCGCGGCCUAUCAGCUUGUUGGUGGGGUAGUGGCCUACCAAGGCGACGAAGGGUAGCCGGCCUGGGAGGGUGAACAGCCACAAGGGGACUGAGACACGGAGCAGACUCCAACGGGAGGCAGCAGUGGGGAACAUGGCGCAAUGGGAGCAAGCCUGAGGAAGAGACGCCGCGUGGGGGAUGACGGCCUUUGGGUUGAAAACAGCUUUCAGCAGGGACGAAGCGCAAGUGACGGUACCUGAAGAAGAAGCACCGGCCAACUACGUG